rnacentral:rRNA from 1 species
UAGUCCACGCCGUAAACGAUCAUCACUCGCUGUUGGCGAUAUACUGUCAGCGGCCAAGCGAAAGUAUUAAGUGAUGCACCUGGGGAGUACGCCGGCAACGGUGAAACUCAAAGGAAUUGACGGGGGGCCCGCACAAGCGGUGGAGCAUGUGGUUUAAUUCGAUGAUACGCGAGGAACCUUACCAGGGCUUAAAUGUAAGUUGCAUAGGUCAGAAAUGAUCUUUUCUUCGGACCACUUACAAGGUGCUGCAUGGUUGUCGUCAGCUCGUGCCGUGAGGUGUCAGGUUAAGUCCUAUAACGAGCGCAACCCCUAUCGUUAGUUGCCAGCGGGUCAUGCCGGGAACUCUAAUGAGACUGCCGGUGCAAACCGAGAGGAAGGUGGGGAUGACGUCAAAUCAUCACGGCCCUUACGUCCUGGGGCUACACACGUGCUAC